UUUUGUAUAUAUUUGAUAAUACAGACAGUCCUUGGGUUACAUCGGACUCGACAUACGUUGUCUUGUGGUUACAUAGCCAUCUCCCA